rnacentral:rRNA from 1 species
GACAGAGGGUGCAACCGUUGUUCGGAAUCACUGGGCGUAAAGCGCGUGUAGGCGGCUGCGCAAGUCGGGCGUGAAAUCCCGUGGCUCAACCACGGAAGUGCACCCGAAACUGCGUAGCUGGAGUCUCGGAGAGGAAGGUGGAAUGCUUGGUGUAGAGGUGAAAUUCGUAGAUAUCAAGCGGAACACCAGUGGCGAAGGCGACCUUCUGGACGAUGACUGACGCUGAGACGCGAAAGCGUGGGGAGCAAACAGG